rfam:Equus caballus chromosome 4, whole genome shotgun sequence.
GAAUGUGAAGGUGAUCUGGCUGCAACAUCUGUCACCCCAUUGAUCACCAGGGCUGAUUUGGCUGAUCUAGCUGGCUAGGCAGGUGUCCCCUUCCUCCCUGACUGCUCCAUGUGCACCCCUCCCAGAGCUGUGCACCCUUCCUUGGUAGAGGAGAGCUGUUCUUCAGUCAAAGGUUUAUAAGUAGCUGUGUUCCCCUUCUGGAACCUCCAGUCAAGCUCUGAAGGUCCAUUUGUAGGAGAACAUAGGGCAGUCAAGAUUCCAAGACUCCAGACACAUCCAAAUGAGGCACUGCAUGUGGCAGUCUGCCUUUCUUU